ACAAAAUAUAUCAUAAAGACAAGCUCACAUACACAUGAAUCAGAAAACAACCUUUGAAAAUUAAAAAUAAAUUAGCCAACUAACGGAGCUCAGAUUCCUAUAACAAAAUGCCAUUACUUGGGUGUUUCUAGAGGAGAGGCUGACAUGCUGUCAGCUUUAGUGUUUGAUGUGGGAUCUCUCUUUCAUAGAUGUUGUGUCCUGGCCUGCUGGAAGGGAAGAAUAGACUUGCUUAGGCCUGUUUUACAAGGAGGUCCUCCCGGGGGAGUCUACUCCCAUGACUUCGGCCAAUAAGUUCCCAGUGUGCUUUGUAUAUUCUGCUUGGAGCAAUCCCCGGACAUUUCACCUCCUAUCACCCGACCCAGACACCACCAGCCUGAUCGCCAGUGCUUGCUGCUGGAACCCCAAAAUGCUGUUAGCUGUGUGAGCAUCUAGAGUUCAGCCUCCCGGAAAACGAGAAGCCCUUCACAGACACAGCCAGAGGCACGCUCCCGUGGAGACGGAUUCUAAAUCCAGUCGCGGUGACAGUGAGGAUGAGCCACCACAGACGGCUACCCAGAAGGCACCACCAAUAAAGGCCUGGAAUGAGAUGAGUGAGAGCUCAGGGGGGUCUGGGGA